AUUGAACGCUGGCGGCAGGCCUAACACAUGCAAGUCGAACGCGUGGCAGACGGGUGAGAAAUGUGUGAGAAACUGCCUGCGGGAGGGGGAUAACUACUGGACACGGUAGCUAAUACCGCAUACCAUCAGAUGUGCCCAGAUGGGAUUAGCUUGUAGGUGGGGAAACGGCUCAACUAGGCGAAGAUCCCUAGGUGGUCUGAGAGGAUGACCGGCCACACUGGAACUGAGACACGGUCCAGACUCCUACUGGAGGCAGCAGUGGGGAAUAUUGCACAAUGGGCGCAAGCCUGAUGCAGCCAUGCCGCGUGUAUGAAGAAGGCCUUCGGGUUGUAAAGCACUUUCAGCGGGGAGGCGUUACCCGCAGAAGAAGCACCGGCUAACUCCGUGCCAGCAGCCGCGGUAAUUC
rnacentral:rRNA from 1 species